AUUGAAACACCAGUUCCUCUACAAUUACCAAAUUUAAGCAAUGUUGAGCCUGGUCAGUGCUUAGAUGGGUGACCACUUGGGAAUACUAGGUGCUGUAAU